UUUGUGGCACAUACUACUUGUUGGUGAACACAGCUGUCUCUCCCCACAAAGGAACAUUUGUGAUGAUAUUACUGUUGACUAUACCAUCAAAUUCCCAUAAGGAAGUAAAAGUUUGGAUCAAGAACAUUUCAACACAAUGAAAAGUUUCUUCAUAUAAAAAAUGGAUUCAGUAGAUAAUCUCAACUACUUUCUUCAUAUUUUAAAAUGUUAUGGCUCUGGACUCAUUGAAAAUGAACUUUUAUAUACCUUUUGUGAAAUGAGAAGUGAUGCACCAUCUCAAGAUUCGUGCUCUGAUUUAAAAGAAGCUACAGAGAAGCUACACUGUAUCACAGGAUGGUCCUACUGCUUGUGAAAGCAGGUUUGGAUUUGUAAGCUUGCAAGGCUAGAUCUGCAAUAAAGUGGCGACUUCAAAAUGGCCGUGGAAAGUAUGAAAAUGGGAAAUUAAUGAUUUUACAUUCAGAAACUUUGCUUAUAAUUGAAUCAUGUUAUGUGACAGGUAAAUGUUGUUGCCUUGGGUUUCCAGCGAAUCUGUGUCUAAUGAUUAUUAUUCUUUCUUGAAAAUAGCAACUCAUUAAGAUGACUAUUUUCUGUCAGGCUUACCUUAUACGGCAUUUCUUCAU